UUGAAUUUAAGAUUUAGGGUUUAGGGUUUACGUGGAAGCGUUAGCGUCGUUAAAAUUAAAAUUUUUAUUUUUUGUAGCUAUUUUUUAUUUAAUUUAAUGUUUUUUAAUUAAUAAUCUAUGUGGAAAUUUGAUUGUUGCUAAAGAGUAGGGUGAAUUUAAAGGUUCACCCCUAGGGUGAACCUAAGUUCUGUCCCUUUGUCGACUUGUAAAAAUAUUCAAGAUCAUUUCCAACUUUACGUUUGAAAGAAGACCUAUAGUGUAAAAGAAAGUAAAGGAACCGAAUAAUAUAUACACUCAAAAUGCGGUUUUUGGUCGUUAUAGCCAGGAAUGAGCACUAAACCGAACCAAAAAGACAAACCAACCCAUGCAUAACCAAACCAAAUGCAUUUUAUAACUAAAUUGAAUGUAGUUUUUUUUUAUUGUUUAGAUUUUACGAAAGAUAUUUUUAUUUGAUAAUCUAAUAAUCGAAAACGGUGUCGCCAAUAAUAAUUUAAAAAUACGUCUAAUUUCUAGGUAGAGUGGUUAGCAAAGAUAUUAUUUUAUACUAUCAAACAAUUAACCCUAUAUCUAUAUAUAAACUGAAAGAAAGAAAUAGGGUUUUAUUUGGUUGAGAUAGAAGAAGGGAGGCAGCUCUCUUUCUCAAGAUGGUGCAUUCACGUUAUUCAUUUAAAAUCAGACAAUUGCGUUCACAUUUGUAUCUAACUUGUCAUCCUCCUCGUCCAAGAAUCCAUUCACCUUUUACGCCAUACUUGAACAAGAGAACGCUUACUCCUCUCCCAAGCUUUCCUUCAGAUCUAUCCCCCAAGCAGGAUAUAGGUGAAUUUAUGAAAGAACUCUCACAACUCGAAUCAGUUUCAGAAAAAGUAUCAAAAUUAGUAGAGCGUCUUAAGGAACUACAUGAGUGUAAGAUCAGAAUAGCUGCAGUCCGUGUUCUUCUCGACAAGAGGAAAAGGAUCCUUAACGAGGAGAAACUGAGAAUUGCCAAGAUGAAAAGGCUUAUCGCUGAGGAAAAAAAGAUUAUCGCCGAAAAAAAAAAAAAUAUAGCAGAGAAGAGAAGGAAAUUAAAUCAACGAGAGUCUCACAGAGAUGCGUAGGUAGCAUUAGAUCAAGUCAUCAAAGCCAUGCAAAAGCUCAACGCCAAAACGAGAACUGAGGAUCAUUGUAGGGUUAGCUAUAGUUGCUCACAAUAACGUUCCGCCAAAUUCUUACUUAUUGUCUUUUAUGUUUUCACUUAAACAAACUAUUGUCAAUGUAUAAGAAACUUGAAGAAGGUUUUAUGAAAAUCACGUUUGUCAAAACUCGAACAUCACGUUGCAUAUGUUCUGGGAAAAACCAUCUACCUUCAUCAAAAAAAAACGUGUACUAUAGCCAUACACGGUAGCUUCGAAUAAGUUAUAAGACUCAAAACGCAGAUUAUGGUCGUUAUAACCAGGAAUGAGCACAAAACCGAACCAAACCAAGACAAAACAAACCAUGCAGAAUCAAACCAAACACAUUUUUUAAGUAAUUGGGUGUGGUUAUUUUUUAUUGUUCGUAAUGAUUUUGAUUUGAUUUUGUAAUUUUUAAAUUGAUCUUUUAACUAAAUUAUAACUAAACCGAGAAUACAAGGAACCAAACUAAUUUAGUAGAAUUUUAUUAGAACCGAAUAACCCAAAUUGAGAUUGGACCGAAUUGGAUAAUUUAGAUUUAUUAUUGGCGAAGAUUAUAUUGCAAAUUAUGUAAAGUAGUUGACAAAAAGGUAAUUGUAAAAGCUUGUUCGCUGAACACGAACGAACUCAUUAUCAGUCAUGCCUACAAUAUCGUGAACAAGGUGCAGAGCAGCUUUCUGGAAGAGAUCGAUGGAGCUCAAUCAAUUCCCGAGAAAAUCGCUAUAAUCCAGGGGAACCAUUUGUUGUGUUUUGAAAUAUCUAUAUAUUUAUUUCAAAA